GAUGAACGCUGGCGGCGUGCUUAAUACAUGCAAGUAGAACGCUGAAGCUUGGUGCUUGCACCGAGCGGAUGAGUUGCGAACGGGUGAGUAACGCGUAGGUAACCUGCCUCUUAGCGGGGGAUAACUAUUGGAAACGAUAGCUAAUACCGCAUAAAAGUCGAUAUCGCAUGAUAUUGAUUUGAAAGGUGCAAAUGCAUCACUAAGAGAUGGACCUGCGUUGUAUUAGCUAGUUGGUGAGGUAACGGCUCACCAAGGCGACGAUACAUAGCGACCUGAGAGGGUGAUCGGCCACACUGGGACUGAGACACGGCCCAGAUCCUACGGGAGGCAGCAGUAGGGAAUCUUCGGCAAUGGGGCACCCUGACCGAGCAACGCCGCGUGAGUGAAGAAGGUUUUCGGAUCGUAAAGCUCUGUUGUAAGAGAAGAACGAGUGUGAGAGUGGAAAGUUUCACACUGUACGGUAACUUACCAGAAAGG
rnacentral:rRNA from 1 species